GCGGACGGGUGAGUAAUGCCUAGGAAUCUGCCUGGUAGUGGGGAUAACGUUCGGAAACGGACGCUAAUACCGCAUACGUCCUACGGGAGAAAGCAGGGGACCUUCGGGCCUUGCGCUAUCAGAUGAGCCUAGGUCGGAUUAGCUAGUUGGUGGGGUAAUGGCUCACCAAGGCGACGAUCCGUAACUGGUCUGAGAGGAUGAUCAGUCACACUGGAACUGAGACACGGUCCAGACUCCUACGGGAGGCAGCAGUGGGGAAUAUUGGACAAUGGGCGAAAGCCUGAUCCAGCCAUGCCGCGUGUGUGAAGAAGGUCUUCGGAUUGUAAAGCACUUUAAGUUGGGAGGAAGGGUUGUAGAUUAAUACUCUGCAAUUUUGACGUUACCGACAGAAUAAGCACCGGCUAACUCUGUGCCAGCAGCCGCGGUAAUACAGAGGGUGCAAGCGUUAAUCGGAAUUACUGGGCGUAAAGCGCGCGUAGGUGGUUAGUUAAGUUGGAUGUGAAAUCCCCGGGCUCAACCUGGGAACUGCAUUCAAAACUGACUGACUAGAGUAUGGUAGAGGGUGGUGGAAUUUCCUGUGUAGCGGUGAAAUGCGUAGAUAUAGGAAGGAACACCAGUGGCGAAGGCGACCACCUGGACUGAUACUGACACUGAGGUGCGAAAGCGUGGGGAGCAAAC
rnacentral:rRNA from 1 species